rnacentral:rRNA from 1 species
ACGGAAGGCAGCAGUGGGGAAUAUUGCACAAUGGGCGAAAGCCUGAUGCAGCGACGCCGCGUGAACGAAGAAGUAUUUCGGUAUGUAAAGUUCUAUCAGCAGGGAAGAAGAAUGACGGUACCUGACUAAGAAGCACCGGCUAAAUACGUGCCAGCAGCCGCGGUAAUACGAAUGGUGCAAGCGUUAUCCGGAUUUACUGGGUGUAAAGGGAGCGCAGGCGGUAUGGCAAGUCUGAUGUGAAAGCCCGGGGCUCAACCCCGGUACUGCAUUGGAAACUACCAGACUAGAGUGUCGGAGAGGUAAGUGGAAUUCCUAGUGUAGCGGUGAAAUGCGUAGAUAUUAGGAGGAACACCAGUGGCGAAGGCGGCUUACUGGACGAUAACUGACGCUGAGGCUCGAAAGCGUGGGGAGCAAACAGGAUUAGAUACCCUGGUA